rnacentral:rRNA from 1 species
UCGAGCGGUAGCACAGAGAAGCUUGCUUCUUGGGUGACGAGCGGCGGACGGGUGAGUAAUGCAUAGGAAUCUGCCCGAUAGUGGGGGAUAACCUGGGGAAACCCAGGCUAAUACCGCAUACGUCCUACGGGAGAAAGGGGGCUCCGGCUCCCGCUAUUGGAUGAGCCUAUGUCGGAUUAGCUAGUUGGUGAGGUAAAGGCUCACCAAGGCGACGAUCCGUAGCUGGUCUGAGAGGAUGAUCAGCCACAUCGGGACUGAGACACGGCCCGAACUCCUACGGGAGGCAGCAGUGGGGAAUAUUGGACAAUGGGCGCAAGCCUGAUCCAGCCAUGCCGCGUGUGUGAAGAAGGCCUUCGGGUUGUAAAGCACUUUCAGCGAGGAAGAACGCCUAGCGGUUAAUACCCGCUAGGAAAGACAUCACUCGCAGAAGAAGCACCGGCUAACUCCGUGCCAGCAGCCGCGGUAAUACGGAGGGUGCAAGCGUUAAUCGGAAUUACUGGGCGUAAAGCGCGCGUAGGUGGCUUGAUAAGCCGGUUGUGAAAGCCCCGGGCUCAACCUGGGAACGGCAUCCGGAACUGUCAAGCUAGAGUGCAGGAGAGGAAGGUAGAAUUCCCGGUGUAGCGGUGAAAUGCGUAGAGAUCGGGAGGAAUACCAGUGGCGAAGGCGGCCUUCUGGACUGACACUGACACUGAGGUGCGAAAGCGUGGGUAGCAAACAGGAUUAGAUACCCUGGUAGUCCACGCCGUAAACGAUGUCGACCAGCCNUUGGGUGCCUAGCGCACUUUGUGGCGAAGUUAACGCGAUAAGUCGACCGCCUGGGGAGUACGGCCGCAAGGUUAAAACUCAAAUGAAUUGACGGGGGCCCGCACAAGCGGUGGAGCAUGUGGUUUAAUUCGAUGCAACGCGAAGAACCUUACCUACUCUUGACAUCCUGCGAACUUGUGAGAGAUCACUUGGUGCCUUCGGGAACGCANAGACAGUGCUGCAUGGCUGUCGUCANCUCGUGUUGUGAAAUGUUGGGUUAAGUCCCGUAACGAGCGCACCCUUGUCCUUAUUUGCCAGCACGUAAUGGUGGGAACUCUA